UAAUACAUACAUAUGUAGAUAUGUACCUACAUGUGUAGAUAUGUACAUACAUGUGUAGAUAUGUACCUACAUGUGUAGAUAUGUACCUACAUGUGUAGAUAUGUACAUAUGUACAUGCAUAUGCAGCGCAAAUGUACGAUAAGAAUGC
rnacentral:sRNA from 1 species